AAGUUUGGUUUAAUUUUUGUUUGUUUCCCACCAAGUUGAUUUUAGUGAUGGAAGCAUUACAAACCUACUUUUUUAAUGCAAACCAUAAAAUUGUUUAUUAUUGCUUCAAAAAAAAUUGUUUAUUCUUACCUGUUAUUUUAGGGUGUGAAUGAAUAAAAAUUGACAUUCUUUGUUCACUCAACAGUCACUCCCAUGUUUUCUACUAUGGUUAUAUUUUAUUGACG
rnacentral:lncRNA from 1 species